GUGAGGUGUUGGGUUAAGUCCCGCAACGAGCGCAACCCCUAUCUUUAGUUGCCAUCAGGUAAUGCUGGGAACUCUAAAGAAACUGCCGUCGUAAGACGCGAGGAAGGAGGGGAUGAUGUCAAGUCAUCAUGGCCUUUAUGCCCAGGGCUACACACGUGCUACAAUGGGGGGUACAAAGGGCUGCUACCUGGUGACAGGAUGCUAAUCUCAAAAAACCUCUCUCAGUUCAGAUUGCAGGCUGCAACUCGCCUGCAUGAAGCUGGAAUCGCUAGUAAUCG
rnacentral:rRNA from 1 species